rnacentral:rRNA from 1 species
GUGUUAGCCGCCGCGGUAAUACAGAGGGUGCGAGCGUUAAUCGGAAUUACUGGGCGUAAAGCGUGCGUAGGCGGCUUUUUAAGUCGGAUGUGAAAUCCCCGAGCUUAACUUGGGAAUUGCAUUCGAUACUGGGAAGCUAGAGUGUGGGAGAGGAUGGUAGAAUUCCAGGUGUAGCGGUGAAAUGCGUAGAGAUCUGGAGGAAUACCGAUGGCGAAGGCGGCCAUCUGGCCUAACACUGACGCUGAGGUGCGAAAGCAUGGGGAGCAAACAGG